AGCAGCGUAUGGCAAACUUUCAUCAAGGAAGAUACGUCCCGUGAAUGGCCACCGAAGCUGCGAUGGCGUGCGAAAAAAUGCCCGCAACAACCUCCGGGGACCGAUCUCUGUGGAUUCUUCGUUUGCGAGUACAUCCGCAGAAUUGUCAACGAGAGAACGAAUAAUGAAAGAAAUAAAGAGUUGGCAAGAAAGCGGAACAAGCUCUCAAUUGAUGACCGCUUCAUAGCAAUAGGCGAGGAAUUGGCGGGAUUUUUCCUUCGGGACGUCAUACCACCACUCGCAGAGCACCACAAUGAAUGAAGAUGUACAUGUUACAUAUAUCGUUGACUCGAAGAGUACCACUAUGCUACAUGUAAUAGACAUAUAUAGAGUACGCCUCGGAGAGCACCACUAUGCAUGAAGAUCGAUCUUCAUGCAUAGUGCUACUUAAUUUGCGAUCUCAUGCAAUAACAUGUGUGUUAUAUUAUAUGCACCAACUUGCUAUGCAUCAUCUUGAUCUUCAUGUACUACCUAAACCCAAACGCGUUUCUGGUGCAUCGACGCGAUAUGAAUCAAACCGAUAUCCCUAAACCUCUCCAAAACCCUAAAA